UACAGUGGUCUCAAGCGUUGUCCGGAUUUAUUGGGCGUAAAGAGCGUGUAGGCGGCCAGAUAGGUCUGCUGUGAAAACUCGAGGCUUAACCUCGAGAUGUCGGCGGAAACCAUCUGGCUAGAGUCCGGAAGAGGAGAGUGGAAUUCCUGGUGUAGCGGUGAAAUGCGCAGAUAUCAGGAAGAACACCCGUGGCGAAGGCGGCUCUCUGGGACGGUACUGACGCUGAGACGCGAAAGCGUGGGGAGCGAACAGG
rnacentral:rRNA from 1 species